rnacentral:rRNA from 1 species
GACGAACCGAGCGACCGUUGUUCGGAAUCACUGGGCUUAAAGGGCGCGUAGGCGGGCUGUCAAGUCUGGGGUGAAAUCCCGCGGCUCAACCGUGGAACUGCCUCAGAUACUGACGGUCUCGAGGGAGGUAGGGGCGAGCGGAACUGAUGGUGGAGCGGUGAAAUGCGUUGAUAUCAUCAGGAACUCCGGUGGCGAAGGCGGCUCGCUGGACCUCUUCUGACGCUGAGGCGCGAAAGCCAGGGGAGCAAACGGG